ACGGCCUUGUAGCCGUCAGGUGCCCCCGCAAGGGGAUAAUAGGGAAUCAGGUGUGAUACCUGAGCGGUCUCCGCCACUGUAACCGGUUAGCUGCCUUCAUUUGCCACCGCCAGGGAAGGCGUAAGGCAAGCGAUGAGCCGGGAGCCAGGAUACCUGCCUGCCGGUGCCUUGGCGC
rnacentral:ncRNA from 2 species